AUUGAACGCUGGCGGCAGGCCUAACACAUGCAAGUCGAGCGAGCGGCGGACGGGUGAGAAAUAUCUGUGAGACUGCCCGAUGGAGGGGGAGAACACCUCGAGACGGUAGCUAAUACCGCAUACCAUCAGAGGUGCCCAGAUGGGAUUAGCUAGUAGGUGGGGGAACGGCUCACCUAGGCGACGAUCCCUAGCUGGUCUGAGAGGAUGACCAGCCACACUGGAACUGAGACACGGUCCAGACUCCUACGGGAGGCAGCAGUGGGGAAUAUUGCACAAUGGGCGCAAGCCUGAUGCAGCCAUGCCGCGUAUGUGAAGAAGGCCUUCGGGUUGUAAAGUACUUUCAGCGGGGAGGCGUUACCCGCAGAAGAAGCACCGGCUAACUCCGUGCCAGCAGCCGCGGUAAUUC
rnacentral:rRNA from 1 species